CCUACGGGAGGCAGCAGUGAGGAAUAUUGGUCAAUGGACGCGAGUCUGAACCAGCCAAGCCGCGUGCAGGAAGACGGCCCUAUGGGUUGUAAACUGCUUUUGUACGAGGGUAAACGCAGAUACGUGUAUCUUUCUGUAAGUAUCGUACGAAUAAGGAUCGGCUAACUCCGUGCCAGCAGCCGCGGUAAUACGGAGGAUUCAAGCGUUAUCCGGAUUUAUUGGGUUUAAAGGGUGCGUAGGCGGUCGGAUAAGUUAGUGGUGAAAUCCCGAGGCUCAACCUCGGAAUUGCAUCUGAUACUGGUAGGCUAGAGAGCAGUUGCGGUAGGCGGAAUGUGUGGUGUAGCGGUGAAAUGCUUAGAGAUCAUACAGAACACCGAUUGCGAAGGCAGCUUACCAAGCUACAUCUGACGCUGAGGCACGAAAGCGUGGGUAGCAAACAGGAUUAGAUACCCCAGUAGUC
rnacentral:rRNA from 1 species